GGAAGUAAAAGUCGUAGCAAGGUUUCCGUAGGUGAACCUGCGGAAGGAUCAUCAUUGAACCUCUAAAUAUCAACAAACACCUGUGUGAACAGUUCGGGGGCUGGGAGGAGGAUUAGAAAUGAUCCUCAGCCCGCCUUCAUUUUUUUCCUCAUUUUUUGAGGAAGAAAACGAAAACCCCACAAAAACUCUUGAUCUUUUGACAGAAAUCCAAAUGUUAUCGCAAGAUAACGCUUGAAAAAAUUAAAAGACAACUUUUAACAACGGAUCUCUUGGCUCUC
rnacentral:misc_RNA from 1 species